AAAGGAAUAGACGGGGGCCCGCACAAGCAGCGGAGCAUGUUGUUUAAUUCGACGCAACGCGAAGAACCUUACCAGGGCUUGACAUCCUCUGAAGCAUGUAGAAAUAUAUGCGCCCUUCGGGGCAGAGAGACAGGUGGUGCAUGGUUGUCGUCAGCUCGUGUCGUGAGAUGUUGGGUUAAGUCCCGCAACGAGCGCAACCCUUGUGUUUAGUUACUAACGCGUAAAGGCGAGGACUCUAGACAGACCGCCGGGGAUAACUCGGAGGAAGGUGGGGACGACGUCAAAUCAUCAUGCCCCUUAUGUCCUGGGCUACAAACGUGCUACAAUGGCCGUUACAAAGAGCAGCAAACCUGUAAAGGCAAGCAAAUCUCAAAAAAGCGGUCUCAGUUCGGAUCGUGGGCUGCAACCCGCCCACGUGAAGUCGGAGUUGCUAGUAAUCGCGAAUCAGCAUGUCGCGGUGAAUACGUUCCCGGGCCUUGUACACACCGCCCGU
rnacentral:rRNA from 1 species